UAGCAAUUGUUUUGAAAACAAUAGAUAAAGAUUAUCAUCUUUAUUAACUUAUUACUAAAAAU
rnacentral:tRNA from 1 species